UAACUGAGAAGGCACAACAAAUCUGAUACAAUUUUUAAGGCCGAACCGAACCGAACAUUUUCAAGAGACCAGAAAUGCAUUUUCACCUUGCAAGCCACACCGUCUAUCGGCAUACAUACGAGCAGAUCUGACCUGCAACACUGAACAAUCGCCCACUCGACAAACUCGAUGAAGAGGAGAUAGACAGAAAGACAAGGAUAUGGUGAAAGCAGAUGACGAACGCCCUUUUCGCCUGGAUUUGGAUUUACAUCUCACAGAAAUUCUAUCACACAAGACCGUUACAAGCGCCGUUAAAUUGCU